AGCGAACGCUGGCGGCAGGCUUAACACAUGCAAGUCGAACGCCCGUAGCAAUACGGGAGUGGCAGACGGGUGAGUAACGCGUGGGAACAUGCCCUUUGGUUCGGAAUAACUCAGGGAAACUCGAGCUAAUACCGGAUAAGCCCGAGAGGGGAAAGAUUUAUCGCCGAAGGAUUGGCCCGCGUCCGAUUAGCUAGUUGGUGAGGUAAUGGCUCACCAAGGCGACGAUCGGUAGCUGGUCUGAGAGGAUGAUCAGCCACACUGGGACUGAGACACGGCCCAGACUCCUACGGGAGGCAGCAGUGGGGAAUAUGGGACAAGGGGGGCAACCCUGAUCCAGCCAUGCCGCGUGAGUGAUGAAGGCCCUAGGGUUGUAAAGCUCUUUCGGCGGGGACGAUAAUGACGGUACCCGCAGAAGAAGCCCCGGCUAACUUCGUGCCAGCAGCCGCCGUAAUAC
rnacentral:rRNA from 1 species